rnacentral:rRNA from 1 species
AGGGAAUCUUCCGCAAUGGACGAAAGUCUGACGGAGCAACGCCGCGUGAGUGAUGACGGCCUUCGGGUUGUAAAGCUCUGUUAAUCGGGACGAAUGGUUCUUGUGCAAAUAGUGCGAGGAUUUGACGGUACCGGAAUAGAAAGCCACGGCUAACUACGUGCCAGCAGCCGCGGUAAUACGUAGGUGGCAAGCGUUGUCCGGAAUUAUUGGGCGUAAAGCGCGCGCAGGCGGAUUGGUCAGUCUGUCUUAAAAGUUCGGGGCUUAACCCCGUGAUGGGAUGGAAACUGCCAAUCUAGAGUAUCGGAGAGGAAAGUGGAAUUCCUAGUGUAGCGGUGAAAUGCGUAGAUAUUAGGAAGAACACCAGUGGCGAAGGCGACUUUCUGGACGAAAACUGACGCUGAGGCGCGAAAGCCAGGGGAGCGAACGGGAUUAGAUACCCCGGUAGUCCUGGCCGUAAACGAUGGGUACUAGGUGUAGGAGGUAUCGACCCCUUCUGUGCCGGAGUUAACGCAAUAAGUACCCCGCCUGGGGAGUACGACCGCAAGGUUG